GACGAACGCUGGCGGCGUGCUUAACACAUGCAAGUCGAACGGAAAGGCCCUGCUUUUGUGGGGUGCUCGAGUGGCGAACGGGUGAGUAACACGUGAGUAACCUGCCCUUGACUUUGGGAUAACUUCAGGAAACUGGGGCUAAUACCGGAUAGGAGCUCCUGCUGCAUGGUGGGGGUUGGAAAGUUUCGGCGGUUGGGGAUGGACUCGCGGCUUAUCAGCUUGUUGGUGGGGUAGUGGCUUACCAAGGCUUUGACGGGUAGCCGGCCUGAGAGGGUGACCGGCCACAGUGGGACUGAGAUACGGCCCAGACUCCUACGGGAGGCAGGGGUGGGGAAUAGUGCACGAUGGGCGGAAGCCGGAUGCAGCAACGCCGCGUGCGGGAUGACUGCCUUCGGGUUGUAAACCGCUUUCGCCUGUGACGAAGCGUGAGUGACGGUAAUGUGUAAAGAAGCACCGGCUAACUACGUG
rnacentral:rRNA from 1 species